AGGUAGAGCAAAUCUCAAAAAAACAAUCUCAGUUCAGACUGCAGGCUGCAACUCGCCUGCACGAAGUCGGAAUUGCUAGUAAUCGUAGGUCAGCAUACUACGGUGAAUACGUUCCCGGGCCUUGUACACACCGCCCGUCAAACCAUGAGAGUUGGCAACACCCGAAGUCGGUAGUCUAACCGCAAGGAGGACCGCCGCCGAAGGUGGGGUUGAUGAUUAGGGUUAAGUCGUAACAAGGUAUC
rnacentral:rRNA from 1 species